rnacentral:rRNA from 1 species
GAUGAACGCUGGCGGCGUGCCUAAUACAUGCAAGUCGAGCGAACGGACGAGAAGCUUGCUUCUCUGAUGUUAGCGGCGGACGGGUGAGUAACACGUGGAUAACCUACCUAUAAGACUGGGAUAACUUCGGGAAACCGGAGCUAAUACCGGAUAAUAUUUUGAACCGCAUGGUUCAAAAGUGAAAGACGGUCUUGCUGUCACUUAUAGAUGGAUCCGCGCUGCAUUAGCUAGUUGGUAAGGUAACGGCUUACCAAGGCAACGAUGCAUAGCCGACCUGAGAGGGUGAUCGGCCACACUGGAACUGAGACACGGUCCAGACUCCUACGGGAGGCAGCAGUAGGGAAUCUUCCGCAAUGGGCGAAAGCCUGACGGAGCAACGCCGCGUGAGUGAUGAAGGUCUUCGGAUCGUAAAACUCUGUUAUUAGGGAAGAACAUAUGUGUAAGUAACUGUGCACAUCUUGACGGUACCUAAUCAGAAAGCCACGGCUAACUACGUGCCAGCAGCCGCGGUAAUACGUAGGUGGCAAGCGUUAUCCGGAAUUAUUGGGCGUAAAGCGCGCGUAGGCGGUUUUUUAAGUCUGAUGUGAAAGCCCACGGCUCAACCGUGGAGGGUCAUUGGAAACUGGAAAACUUGAGUGCAGAAGAGGAAAGUGGAAUUCCAUGUGUAGCGGUGAAAUGCGCAGAGAUAUGGAGGAACACCAGUGGCGAAGGCGACUUUCUGGUCUGUAACUGACGCUGAUGUGCGAAAGCGUGGGGAUCAAACAGGAUUAGAUACCCUGGUAGUCCACGCCGUAAACGAUGAGUGCUAAGUGUUAGGGGGUUUCCGCCCCUUAGUGCUGCAGCUAACGCAUUAAGCACUCCGCCUGGGGAGUACGACCGCAAGGUUGAAACUCAAAGGAAUUGACGGGGACCCGCACAAGCGGUGGAGCAUGUGGUUUAAUUCGAAGCAACGCGAAGAACCUUACCAAAUCUUGACAUCCUUUGACAACUCUAGAGAUAGAGCCUUCCCCUUCGGGGGACAAAGUGACAGGUGGUGCAUGGUUGUCGUCAGCUCGUGUCGUGAGAUGUUGGGUUAAGUCCCGCAACGAGCGCAACCCUUAAGCUUAGUUGCCAUCAUUAAGUUGGGCACUCUAAGUUGACUGCCGGUGACAAACCGGAGGAAGGUGGGGAUGACGUCAAAUCAUCAUGCCCCUUAUGAUUUGGGCUACACACGUGCUGCAAUGGACAAUACAAAGGGCAGCGAAACCGCGAGGUCAAGCAAAUCCCAUAAAGUUGUUCUCAGUUCGGAUUGUAGUCUGCAACUCGACUACAUGAAGCUGGAAUCGCUAGUAAUCGUAGAUCAGCAUGCUACGGUGAAUACGAUCCCGGGUCU